AACACAGCAAAGGAUGAUCAAGAG
rnacentral:piRNA from 1 species